GGUGGGGUAACGGCUCACCUAGGCGACGAUCCCUAGCUGGUCUGAGAGGAUGACCAGCCACACUGGAACUGAGACACGGUCCAGACUCCUACGGGAGGCAGCAGUGGGGAAUAUUGCACAAUGGGCGCAAGCCUGAUGCAGCCAUGCCGCGUGUAUGAAGAAGGCCUUCGGGUUGUAAAGUACUUUCAGCGGGGAGGAAGGGAGUAAAGUUAAUACCUUUGCUCAUUGACGUUACCCGCAGAAGAAGCACCGGCUAACUCCGUGCCAGCAGCCGCGGUAAUACGGAGGGUGCAAGCGUUAAUCGGAAUUACUGGGCGUAAAGCGCACGCAGGCGGUUUGUUAAGUCAGAUGUGAAAUCCCCGGGCUCAACCUGGGAACUGCAUCUGAUACUGGCAAGCUUGAGUCUCGUAGAGGGGGGUAGAAUUCCAGGUGUAGCGGUGAAAUGCGUAGAGAUCUGGAGGAAUACCGGUGGCGAAGGCGGCCCCCUGGACGAAGACUGACGCUCAGUGCGAAA
rnacentral:rRNA from 1 species